GAAUUUGAUGCAGCACAGCAUUUGAUGCUCACAAAGCCUGUAUGAAAUUUGCAGAUUUUGAGGAUGUUAUUAUGUUUUUCCAGAAAUCGAUUGGAUAAGAAUGCACAGGAAAAUAAUAAAACAUUCAACACCUCUUGCAAUCCAGUAUUGCUUUCCUCCCAUCAUCUUCUCAUCUUAACCGGAGCUUGCCCCAUCGAGUCAUCAAACUCAUAAUCAGACCAGCUGUUUUUGCAGGUUAUAGAUUUUUCCUAUACUCUCUUAUCUCAAUUGCUGACAUGCUGCAAUUUUCUGCUCUUGAUUAACAUAUAUUCCCUGUUGCUAUGAAAUUGAAACCAAAGCAAGAACCAUGCUACAUAACCUGUAAAUUUAAUAAGCAUUUAAGCAAUAAUUCUUGGAGUUAAUGGCAAGAAAAUUAUCUUUUGAUCGACGGAGACAAAAGGGUAUCAACAGAAGAGAGUUUUUAAAGAACAAGAGGUUGAUAACAUAGGUUUGACUUCAAAUGUGGAAGUUAGAGAAGCAUAUGAAGGAAGAUGAUGAGAGAGCUCUUAAAUUAUAAUAAUCCAAAUUUGAUUAUCAAUUUUAUGUAAUAACAUUAGUGUUUAAAUUAUAUUAAAACUUUGUUUGGGUGGUGUAGGUCUAAUUUUCUUAAUAUUUUUAUUAAACAAGGUAAUAUGAUUGGUCAGAGCUAACCUUCAUUUUCGUCCCUCUCCUUGUCUGUUACCAUAAAUGGAACAUCAUGGUAAUUGAGUUUGGUACCUAAAGUAAACUAAACCCCUUCAGUUACGGUAUAAGUAAUAAAUUAAUUAUUCAUGUUGAAGAAUUCGUUAA